UCCUUCGAUGUCGGCUCUUCCU
rnacentral:ncRNA from 4 species